rnacentral:rRNA from 1 species
GAUGAACGCUGGCGGCGUGCUUAACACAUGCAAGUCGAACGGAAAGGCCCAAGCUUGCUUGGGUACUCGAGUGGCGAACGGGUGAGUAACACGUGGGUGAUCUGCCCUGCACUUCGGGAUAAGCCUGGGAAACUGGGUCUAAUACCGGAUAGGACCACAUUUUGGAUGGUGUGGUGGAAAGUUUUUCGGUGUGGGAUGAGCUCGCGGCCUAUCAGCUUGUUGGUGGGGUAAUGGCCUACCAAGGCGUCGACGGGUAGCCGGCCUGAGAGGGUGUACGGCCACAUUGGGAAUGAGAUACGGCCCAGACUCCUACGGGAGGCAGCAGUGGGGAAUAUUGCACAAUGGGCGCAAGCCUGAUGCAGCGAGGCCGCGUGGGGGAUGACGGCCUUCGGGUUGUAAACUCCUUUCGCUAGGGACGAAGCGUUUUUGUGACGGUACCUGGAGAAGAAGCACCGGCUAACUACGUG